rnacentral:lncRNA from 1 species
CAGGUCCACUGCGGACUCAGGGGUAGGAUCGGUCCCAUGCAGGUGAUGUGACUGAGGGUAGGAAAAAUGUGGUUCCCAAAGGAAAAUUAGGAGGAAAUGGAUGCUGGGCAAGCAAAGACAACAGAUGUCUACGUUCUGUGCUUAUUCCUAAAAUCAAGGAUUUCAACAUGUGGAGAAUGAAGAAGAGGACAUUCCGGAUGGCAUGACGGCAUGAAGCUGUACAAUGGUGGGAUUGUUUGGGGAAAUAGUGGUGUCUUUUGACAAAGUGCAGAGUAUGUGAUGGGCACUGGAGUAGAAUAAAAGCUGGUGUCUUUUGGCCAGACAGCUGGUGGCCACAUGCUCCCCUAAGACACAUGGAUCUUAUUUGGCAGCUAUUGGGUCCCUAAUUCAAAUAUUUCCUAUAAAUUUUUAUCCCUCCAGAAUUAUCAGGCAGAAGGGAAAGACAAAUGAUGAGGACAGGAAAUGCAAGGAAAGGAAACGAAGCAAAAAGCUGACUAAUGUGGGUCAGGAUAAAAAUAAUGUAACCAAAGGAGUGGACAACAAGCAGAAGCAGAAACUGGGGGCUGUCAGAGGGCAGAGGAGGAAAACACUCUGGUUCCAGAGGGUGAGGCCCAGGAGUGGAUGCCUGCUGGAUGCUUCUGACCCUCAUCGAAGGAGACAGUGCCUGCCAGAAGGCACCAGUAUGGAGACAGAGACUGUCAACCACAGUUUUUGCCUUACGUGAAAUACUUACAACAAGACCAUGGUGGGGGCUCCCAUAACAGCCCCACCGUCCUUCGAGUCAGAACUCCGCAGGCGCCCACAUUGAAACACGCACUCAUUUACUUCAACAAAGAUAAAUGACGUAAAUGUACAUUUCCUAAAAAACCCCUGCCGAGUCCAGGGUUUGCACUCACUGAAGAACUUACUUAAAGCUUUUCAUAAUGGAUUGACUAAGCCUUUCUCAGGAUGUAAGAACUGUUUUGAACUAGUUACUUAAGCAAGUUUCAUGUGACGUGAGAAUUAUUUAUCUGUCAUCUACCCAUUCACCC